rfam:Actinobacillus succinogenes 130Z, complete genome.
GGGGAUAUAGCUCAGCUGGGAGAGCGCCUGCCUUGCACGCAGGAGGUCAGCGGUUCGAUCCCGCUUAUCUCCA